GUGCCAGCAGCCGCGGUAAUACGUAGGGUGCGAGCGUUGUCCGGAAUUAUUGGGCGUAAAGAGCUCGUAGGCGGUUUGUCGCGUCGACUGUGAAAACCUGGGGCUUAACCCCGGGCGUGCAGUCGAUACGGGCAGACUUGAGUUCGGCAGGGGAGACUGGAAUUCCUGGUGUAGCGGUGAAAUGCGCAGAUAUCAGGAGGAACACCGGUGGCGAAGGCGGGUCUCUGGGCCGAUACUGACGCUGAGGAGCGAAAGCGUGGGGAGCGAACAGGAUUAGAUACCCUGGUAGUCC
rnacentral:rRNA from 1 species